CCCCCUGAGGGUGCUUCCCUUCCCCCGACGGCUCCUGGGGGGAGUGACGCCCGUCUGCCCUGGGAAGACGCAGAGCCUCGGGUCCGGCACGGGCACCCUGG